UACGUAGGGUGCGAGCGUUGUCCGGAAUUAUUGGGCGUAAAGCGCGCGUAGGUGGCCCCAUAAGUCCGCUGUGAAAGUCAAAGGCUCAACCUUUGAAAGCCGGUGGAUACUGUGGGACUAGAGUACGGAAGAGGCGAGUGGAAUUCCUGGUGUAGCGGUGGAAUGCGCAGAUAUCAGGAGGAACACCAAUAGCGAAGGCAGCUCGCUGGGACGUUACUGACACUGAGGCGCGAAAGCGUGGGGAGCGAACAGG
rnacentral:rRNA from 1 species